rnacentral:rRNA from 1 species
AGAGUUUGAUCCUGGCUCAGAGUGAACGCUGGCGGCAGGCCUAAUACAUGCAAGUCGAACGGCAGCACAGCAGUAGCAAUACUGUGGGUGGCGAGUGGCGGACGGGUGAGGAAUACGUCGGAAUCUGCCCAGUCGUGGGGGAUAACUAGCCGAAAGGUUAGCUAAUACCGCAUACGACCGAGAGGUGAAAGCGGGGGACCGCAAGGCCUCGCGCGAUUGGAUGAGCCGACGUCGGAUUAGCUAGUUGGUGGGGUAAAGGCCUACCAAGGCGACGAUCCGUAGCUGGUCUGAGAGGAUGAUCAGCCACACUGGAACUGAGACACGGUCCAGACUCCUACGGGAGGCAGCAGUGGGGAAUAUUGGACAAUGGGCGCAAGCCUGAUCCAGCAAUGCCGCGUGUGUGAAGAAGGCCUUCGGGUUGUAAAGCACUUUUAUCAGGAACGAAAAGCGACGGACUAAUACUCUGUCGUGCUGACGGUACCUGAGGAAUAAGCACCGGCUAACUUCGUGCCAGCAGCCGCGGUAAUACGAAGGGUGCAAGCGUUAAUCGGAAUUACUGGGCGUAAAGCGUGCGUAGAUGGUGCGUUAAGUCGGAUGUGAAAGCCCCGGGCUCAACCUGGGAACUGCAUCCGAUACUGGCGGACUAGAGUGUGAUAGAGGAUGGCGGAAUUCCCGGUGUAGCGGUGAAAUGCGUAGAGAUCGGGAGGAACAUCCGUGGCGAAGGCGGCCAUCUGGAUCAACACUGACGUUGAGGCACGAAAGCGUGGGGAGCAAACAGGAUUAGAUACCCCGGUAGU